rnacentral:rRNA from 1 species
UGUUUAACAAAAACAUCACCUCUUGUACCCUAUCAGAGGCCCAGCCUGCCCAGUGACCCAGUUCAACGGCCGCGGUAUCCUAACCGUGCGAAGGUAGCGUAAUCACUUGUUCUUUAAAUAAGGACUAGUAUGAAUGGCACCACGAGGGUUCUCCUGUCUCCUUUUUCUAAUCAAUGAAACUGAUCUUCCCGUGAAGAAGCGGGAAUCUAAAUAUAAGACGAGAAGACCCUAUGGAGCUUCAAACUAAAUAGUAUUGGCUUUUUCCCCUUAUGUGCCCCCGGGUGUUAAUACUUAUUCUAGCCUUUUAACUAUGAGUUUUGGGUUGGGGUGACCACGGAGCAAAAAUUAACCUCCAUGAUGAACAGAUUUACUCUUGAGCCAAAAGUCACGACUUUAAGCACCAAUAAUUUGACAUAAGUUGACCCAAUAUUUUGAACAACGAACCAAGUUACCCUAGGGAUAACAGCGCAAUCCACUUCAAGAGCUCUUAUCGACAAGUGGGUUUACGACCUCGAUGUUGGAUCAGGGUGNCCUAGUGGUGCAGCCGCUACUAAAGGUUCGUUUGUUCAACGAUUAAUACCCU